UGCUCUGAACCGUUCCUCGAUACAGGGAGCCGCUCCAUGCGGGUUUGUGCAAGCCGACCAACGCAGUCGGAAGCCUUCCCCCGUAUGCUUGGCACCCACCUGGCCAAACCAGGUUCGAGUAC
rnacentral:sRNA from 1 species